rnacentral:rRNA from 1 species
AACGGUAGCAGGAAGUGCUUGCACUCUGCUGACGAGUGGCGGACGGGUGAGUAAUGCUUAGGGAUCUGCCUUCGGGAGGGGGAUAACAGUUGGAAACGACUGCUAAUACCGCAUAAUACCUACGGGUCAAAGGGGGGUUCGCCUCUCGCCUGAAGAUGAACCUAAGUGAGAUUAGCUAGUUGGUGAGGUAAAGGCUCACCAAGGCGACGAUCUCUAGCUGGUCUGAGAGGAUGACCGGCCACACUGGGACUGAGACACGGCCCAGACUCCUACGGGAGGCAGCAGUGGGGAAUAUUGGACAAUGGGGGCAACCCUGAUCCAGCCAUGCCGCGUGUGUGAAGAAGGCCUUCGGGUUGUAAAGCACUUUCAGACGUGAGGAAAGGUUAGUAGUUAAUACCUGCUAGCUGUGACGUUAGCGUCAGAAGAAGCACCGGCUAACUCCGUGCCAGCAGCCGCGGUAAUACGGAGGGUGCGAGCGUUAAUCGGAAUUACUGGGCGUAAAGCGCACGCAGGCGGUUUGUUAAGCUAGAUGUGAAAGCCCCGGGCUCAACCUGGGAACUGCAUUUAGAACUGGCAGGCUAGAGUCUUGGAGAGGGGAGUGGAAUUCCAGGUGUAGCGGUGAAAUGCGUAGAGAUCUGGAGGAACAUCAGUGGCGAAGGCGACUCCCUGGCCAAAGACUGACGCUCAUGUGCGAAAGUGUGGGUAGCGAACAGGAUUAGAUACCCUGGUAGUCCACACCGUAAACGAUGUCUACUAGCUGUUUGUGUCCUUAAGACGUGAGUAGCGCAGUUAACGCGCUAA